CUGGCGCCUCUCAAAGAGGCGCCAGGCCCUGGCGCUUCUUUAAGAAGCGCCAGCAGCAAGCUGGCGCCUCUUAAAGAGGCGCCAGCUACAAGCUAGCGCCUCUUUAAGAGGCGCCAGCCACAAGC